rnacentral:lncRNA from 1 species
GUUCGUUUCUGUGUGUAUUACAUUAUAACGUUGUGUCGUUUGUUUUCUCUUAUUUUUUAGUGUAAAUUCACAUUGCGAUAAGACGUGUCACGGUACUUGUCUAUCCCAAAUUCAUGUAUUUGGUUUUGAUGUUAUAUAUAUAUGUUAUAUUUGUUUUUCUCGUGGGAUUUUGUCUAUAUGUGUUACAUUUUAGUGUUAUGUCGUUGUUCUCCUCUUAUAUUUAAUGCGUUUCCCUCGGUUUUAGUUUGUUAUCCCGAUU